rnacentral:pre_miRNA from 1 species
CAUCAUAUUAUGUGCGCAAUAAGAUUUUGCUAUGCUUUCACCGUUGAUUCAACCAAUUGACAUCAAUGUUGAUAAAGGCAUGGAAAAAUCUUAUUGUAUACAUGAUAUGGUG